UGAGGCUGGAAUUGCUAGUAAUGGCAGGUCAGCAUACUGCCGUGAAUACGUUCCCGGGCCUUGUACACACCGCCCGUCACACCAUGAGAGUUGGAAAUACCCGAAGCCUGUGAGCUAACUUAAAGAGGCAGCAGUCGAAGGUGGAGCCAAUGAUUGGGGUGAAGUCGUAACAAGGUAAC
rnacentral:rRNA from 1 species